GAUCAUGGCUCAGAUUGAACGCUGGCGGCAGGCCUAACACAUGCAAGUCGAACGGUAACAGAAAGCAGCUUGCUGCUUUGCUGACGAGUGGCGGACGGGUGAGUAAUGUCUGGGAAACUGCCUGAUGGAGGGGGAUAACUACUGGAAACGGUAGCUAAUACCGCAUAACGUCGCAAGACCAAAGAGGGGGACCUUAGGGCCUCUUGCCAUCGGAAAUGUGCCCAGAUGGGAUUAG
rnacentral:rRNA from 1 species